UACCCCUGUAGCCCAAUUGGUAGAGGCGCCUAUCUCAAAAAUAGGAGGAUGCAGAUUCAAAUUCUGCCAGGGGUAU
rnacentral:tRNA from 1 species